rnacentral:tRNA from 1 species
AACUAUUAAGUUAAUUAUUAACAGAUGUUUUGAAAGCAUCCAUAAGAGGUUUAAAUCCUCUAGUAGUUU